rnacentral:rRNA from 1 species
CAGUCGCCACGGGAAUACGUAGGUGGCAAGCGUUGUCCGGAAUUAUUGGGCGUAAAGGGCUCGCAGGCGGUUUCUUAAGUCUGAUGUGAAAGCCCCCGGCUCAACCGGGGAGGGUCGUUGGAAACUGGGAAACUUGAGUGCAGAAGAGGAGAGUGGAAUUCCACGUGUAGCGGUGAAAUGCGUAGAGAUGUGGAGGAACACCAGUGGCGGAGGCGACUCUCUGGUCUGUAACUGACGCUGAGGAGCGAAAGCGUGGGGAGCGAACAGGAUUAGAUACCCCGGUAGUCCCUGUCUCUUAUAC